GAUGAAGAACGUAGCAAAAUGCGAUAAGUAAUGUGAAUUGCAGAAUUCAGUGAAUCAUCGAAUCUUUGAACGCACAUUGCGCCCGCUGGUAUUCCGGCGGGCAUGCCUGUUCGAGCGUCAUUUCAACCAUCAAGCCCCCGGGUUUGGUGUUGGGGAUCGGCUCUGCCCUUCUGGGCGGUGCCGCCCCCGAAAUACAUUGGCGGUCUCGCUGCAGCCUCCAUUGCGUAGUAGCUAACACCUCGCAACUGGAACGCGGCGCGGCCAUGCCGUAAAACCCCAACUUCUGAAUGUUGACCUCGGAUCAGGUAGGAAUACCCGCUGAACUUAAGCAUAUCAAUAAGCGGAGGA
rnacentral:misc_RNA from 1 species